UGAGGAAUAUUGGUCAAUGGGGGCAACCCUGAACCAGCCAAGUCGCGUGAAGGAUGAAGGUCUUAUGGAUUGUAAACUUCUUUUAUACAGGAAUAAAUUGGGGGACGUGUCCCCUUUUGCAUGUACUGUAUGAAUAAGGAUCGGCUAACUCCGUGCCAGCAGCCGCGGUAAUACGGAGGAUCCGAGCGUUAUCCGGAUUUAUUGGGUUUAAAGGGUGCGCAGGCGGGAUGUUAAGUCGGCGGUGAAAUUUUGCAGCUCAACUGUAAAAGUGCCUUCGAUACUGGCCUCCUUGAGUGUGGAUGAAGUAGGCGGAAUUUGUGGUGUAGCGGUGAAAUGCUUAGAUAUCACGAGGAACCCCGAUUGCGCAGGCAGCUUACUAAGCCACAACUGACGCUCAUGCACGAAGGCGUGGGGAUCAAACA
rnacentral:rRNA from 1 species